rnacentral:misc_RNA from 1 species
GACAGAGGAAUAAUAACAGGUCAGUAAGCAUGAGUUGUUAUACUUUUGGUCUGAUCUUAUUGUUCCAUUGCUUCCACAAGUUUGCAGAAGACCUCAAUUACAUGGACUUCAUCUCAAAGGCCAUAUUCGCAAAUGGUUCAUUACCUUAAGCCAAAGUGCUAGGGAAUGUUGAACUCUUGAUAUUGAAUCUUGAAGCUAACGAGAGGAGUUUUUUUUUUUUUUU